rnacentral:rRNA from 1 species
UACGUAGGGGGCAAGCGUUGUCCGGAUUUAUUGGGCGUAAAGAGCGUGUAGGCGGCCUGACAGGUCAGCUGUGAAAACUCGAGGCUCAACCUCGAGACGUCGGUUGAAACCAUCUGGCUAGAGUCCGGAAGAGGAGAGUGGAAUUCCCGGUGUAGCGGUGAAAUGCGCAGAUAUCAGGAAGAACACCCGUGGCGAAGGCGGCUCUCUGGGACGGUACUGACGCUGAGACGCGAAAGCGUGGGGAGCGAACAGG